UGAAACAGUCACAACCAGACGGAAUCAAGCCUGGCUGCUCCACUGCCCCAUUGCCGGCAUGGCGAGAAAGAUGAGACAGUCGAAACCAGACCAAAUCGGCCUGGCUGCUCCACUACCGUUUUGCCAGCAUAUGGUGAGAUGGAGGAGACGGUCACAACCAGACCGAAUCGGCCUGGCUGCUCAACCACCGCGUUAACAACAUGGCGAGAGAGAUGAGACAACCGCAACCAGAUGGAAUCGGCCUGGCUGCUCCACCAGUGGGUUCCGAAUUUGCUAAUUCUAAUAUUUAUCUCUCUCUUCGUGGACUCCCGCAAUGCAGUCAACUUGGCGGGAUCCUGGUUGUCUUUCCCUCCCGGGCGACAGGACGAGGCCUGUCCACUACGUCCGCGAACAAGAGACCAGCGUAGCGGCCUGAUCGGAACCUAUAUGAAAUAUCUUGACCUCACUGAUUGACACGUCUCUGCUUCCAGACAACGCACGAACGAUAUGAUAUGGAUUCAUACAACUUCCAGCUCUUAAACGGUAUGGAUAAAGCAGUUGACGACACAUUCUUAAUCAAGGAUUAUACGACUGGCUGGUUAUUCGAGGACGGUGACAACAUUGAGUGAACCAGCCCUGCUGUGAUCCUGUGCAACCAUACCUAAAAGGAACCCUUACGGCUACGUCGGUCUAUAGUGUAACGAUUGCGAGGGGAGGAGGAUAAGACAGACUCAGACUCAGACUCUGGAUUAUCUAUAUAGGAUGCCAUGACAAUGCUAAUGGUGGCACCGGCGUCACCGGGAUGUGUGUGUUAAAUGUGGGCGCCGCUUGCCAGCGAUGGAAAAAACACUAGCUAUGUCUGGACAUAAAUUCUCGAGGCAUUGAUAAUUAUUCCUCUCAACGAAAUCGUCCUUGUCAUCCCUCUGACACCAGACUCGGCUCCAGCCCAUCAUUAAAGUCCUGUUUCUCCGCAUUUGACACCGCAGCCUCAAAGUCACACUCUUCACUUGUUAGAAACCAUCCGGAGAAGCGAACAUUAAACCCUUAUUUGAUUUCCUCAGGACCAUUACAAACAGUUGUUCUUCUGUAUCAUCUUUUCAAAUCAUGAAUA